AACGAACGCUGGCGGCAUGCCUAACACAUGCAAGUCGAACGAGACCUUCGGGUCUAGUGGCGCACGGGUGCGUAACGCGUGGGAACCUGCCCUUAGGUUCGGAAUAACUCCCCGAAAGGGGUGCUAAUACCGGAUAAUGUCUUCGGACCAAAGAUUUAUCUCCUUUGGAUGGGCCCGCGUUGGAUUAGCUAGUUGGUAGGGUAAAAGCCUACCAAGGCGACGAUCCAUAGCUGGUCUGAGAGGAUGAUCAGCCACACUGGGACUGAGACACGGCCCAGACUCCUACGGGAGGCAGCAGUGGGGAAUAUUGGACAAUGGGCGAAAGCCUGAUCCAGCAAUGCCGCGUGAGUGAUGAAGGCCUUAGGGUUGUAAAGCUCUUUUACCCGGGAUGAUAAUGACAGUACCGGGAGAAUAAGCGCCGGCUAACUCCGUG
rnacentral:rRNA from 1 species